GUAGAUUAAAAAUUCCUUGAAGCUUGCGGGCCUGGCUUUGGGUGAUUGGGCCCACGGACAACUGCUUUAGUAUCAUGUAUGUCUUGCUCUUUUAUUGGGACAUCUUUUAUGAUGGUUCUCAUAUCAAUUGGUAUUUAAUUUUAUUAUUUUGUCUUAGGUGAAAAUAAUGUAUGAUAAAAAGAAAGCUCAUAUUUCAUAGG
rnacentral:lncRNA from 1 species